UGCCCUUUCUCGCCCCCUCCCUGUCCUUUCUCACGCGCACCUCCUGGUGGGGCACCCCCUUCUUCCUAAGUCCUCGGCCCCUCCCGCCAACGGUCACCGGGGGAUCCUGGCAGAGACCUAGGUCUGCGAAGAGACGGACCAGUGAGGAUUGGGUGGAGGCACCCUGAGCAGCAUAGAUGGCUAGAGGUUGUACCUCAGAAGAGAGAAGCUACCACUUUGCAGAGCAGGAAAGGUUGGGACCAAGAUCAAGGUCAACAAAGAACCCCUCCCUCUCCCUGGGAGGGGUGAGGCAUGAGCACACACAACAGGGGGCUUGGUGAAGAUAACUUAGGAACUCAGAGACAAGUUUUUAUUUAAAAUUUAUUGUAAUGGGGUCUGCGCAAAAGGAGGGAGGGGAGGGUGGGGAACAUGCAAGGGACACAGGAACACGAUGACAUGGCCAGGGCCAUAGCUUCUGUUAUGGGAAAGAGGAAGAAAGACCAGGGCUGGAGCUGGGGUGGAAGAGGGAAGGGGGAGACACUGUGGCUGCAUUCCCCCACCCCCAGGAAGCACCUCUUGUCCCUGGCUCCCCUCCUUUGCCCUGGCCCCCUAAGAUUCCAUCUCUCUUGUUCUGCCUCUGGCUCCAGUGGCUCCUUCUGAUGCUCCCCUUGGCUUCUCCCUGGACAGACACUCCAGUAGGAUGCUUGGGGUUUAACCACCCAACCUUACUCAAGUAUCCCUCUGCCUUCCCCGCUUCUGCCCCUCCUCAAUACCACCUUUUCUCUCCUCUGGGACAGAAUCUUCUUUCCCCUCCUCUCUCCUCCCUACCCCUGGGAAAAAACAACAACAAAAAAGAAAGCACCAACUCCCCAGGAAGGGGCAGCAGACAGUAGGGGAGGGGACAGAAGGAGGAGAGCACAGGACCUUCUAGGAAAGGCUCACAAAUCCCUGGGAGGCAAGGCAAGGGGUUAAAGGUGAGGGCAGUGGCUGCUGCUGUCCUCUGCCACCCCUGCUCAUUGUCCAGGGGACUUCAACACAACUCAGGGGACAGGUGUUUGUAGGGUCAGCUCUGAUAGGGAGAAGAAAGGAGCAGGAGAAACAUUGUUAAAACCUAGUGAAUUCCUUCUUCCUCCUCUCUGUCUGGAGGCUCCUUGGUUGAUGAAGAGUCGUGAGGAGUUGGUGGGAAGAGGAGACUGUACCAAGAAGAGCUUUCCUCCACUCUCCCCUCUCCCCCAUCAACUUGGAGCUCACCAAGGCUGGGAGGGAAGUGGCUGAGAGCUCACUGGUACCCCCUCUGCCCCAGAGAGGGAGCCCACAGCUGUGGGGGGGGCUGCCACCACUGCUGCUGCCGCCGCCGCCGCUGCUGCUGCCGCUGCCGCCAUUGGACAAACCUCACCAGUACCUAUAGGGAGAAACACCAAGGAUCACAGCACAACCUAAAUGGCAAGAAACAUGUUCCAUACCCCAGACUUUUCAACUAUUUCCCUAUUUCCCCUGGGACACAGCCGUUACUUCCUAUCUGGUCCCCAGAGGCUUCGGCCUGCCUGCUUACCCAGACUGAGCAUGUCCAUACUGCCCUCUCUGGAUCCCAAGGCUCCCUAAUCUGAGUGACAGACUGGCAUCCCUGGCCUUCCUGCGAUCCCCUAUUGGGCCCUUUGAGUUCCCUUGUCCCACACAUCCCAUGCUGCCCCCCCCAGCCAUGUCCCACACCUUGCCUGGUGGGUGCAGGGGUCCCCCUCAGCAGGUAGGCUGUGGCUGGGGGGCAUCUCCCGGGAUAGGAGGGGCGGCCCCCCCCAGAUGGGUCUGCAUGUGGCCGGCCAGCUGGGCAGGGGUCUUGCAGUGCACGCUGCACAGCUUACACAGGAUGCGGUCAGCCCGCGGGGCCUGGAGCCCAUGGUCCUUCACCGCGUGGAUGCGCAGAGACCGUCCACGACACGGCUACCUAGCUUUUUAAAGGCUUGACUCUCAGUGGAGACGGCUGUGUCCCCCCCCUCUCCAGUGCCCCCGUCUCAGCUCCUUUAGUCACCAACCACAGUGAAACAGCUUUCUGCUACUGGGUAGGGUGCAUGCUCGUCACACCCCUGCUGAUGUACUCCACCUGCCCCAGGAGCUGGAGACAAGAGCUUGUGGCUGCUAAGUUGAAACCCUUGGGACUGGCUUUUUGGCUAUUCCUUUCUCAAAGUAACCACGUCCCACUUCAUUCUCCCAAGCACACCCAUGAGGUUGAAUUUCUGGUAGACGGUCUCCUGUGAACCAUGGCACAUAAUUUAGUGGUGGUGUUUCCAAUGCUGUUGUACUUGCCCCUUAAAGAGUUCUCUCUACUCGCCACAAGCUCUUAGCUGCAGCACCCUUGACCCACAUCGGUGAAAAAAAACCCAACAGCUCUGUGCCCCCCUUUUUAGUCCCUGCCCUCCUGGCACCCCUUAGCAUGUACCUUUGUUGCAGAGCUCACAGACAUGGUGAGGGCCCUGGCUGUGCACCUUCAUGUGGUCGGAAAUAUAAGCCGAGCUCAGCAUCUUGCCACAGACAUGACAUGGCACCUUCUCCUCGUGUCGGACUGUGUGCGCUCGGAGGCGAUCCUUCGUAGCAAAAGCUGCCUCACAUUUCUGGGGGAGGGUGUGGGGUCACAGGAGAGUUAAAGCUUCGGGGAGUAGAGAGAAGGGAGCAAGAUAAGGGGAUCAGAGUCUCGGGGGUCUUUGAUCUGUAGGAAAUGGGCGUGAGAUGACCAGGCCUUGAAGGAGAAAUGUGAAAAUGGAGUGAAGAGGCAAAAAGAGAGAGAAAAAGGGGGUCUGAGAGGCUGAACCCACACAGCUACAAUGAGGAUCAAAAUCAUGAAAACCAGGACAGGAGGAAGCUGGCUUCCUACCUCACAUUUGAAGGGCCGCUCUGUUGAGUGCACUUGUCUGACGUGACUGUUGAGGUGAUCCGGCCUAGGGAUAUGUUGAGGUGGGAGGGGGUGUGUGUUAGGGCUUAGGCUCCAAGGUAAGGUGUGCCUCAAAUCUACCUAGGUUCCUCCAAAAUGCCUCUGCAAAGGUCCCAGCGUUUCCCCCUCAGCUUCAGUCCUCAGGCAGGAAAGCCCUCAAACCAAGAUUCCUCUUCUGCCCAGAGGCUGCUUUCCUUCAGCCCAGAGACCCACCUCUUCUAAAGUACCACCCCCUGUUCCUAGCAACUUCCCUCCUCCCUGGGAGUGGUUCCUGUCCCCAGGAACGGGAGCCGCCUCCCCACCAGCCAAAGACAGGCCACCUUGUUGCCCUCCCCCCCACCGGCCUAGUGGGCAGCGAGGCCCCUGCACACCGGGAGAAGCUCUUGCCACAGUGGGAGCAGUUGUAGGGCUUGUGCACAGCGCCGUCAUGUGAGCGCACGUGGUAACUCAUGCGGUCCUUGCGCUUGAAGCGCUGCUGGCACACAGGGCACUGGUAGGGCUUCUCGUCCGAAUGCGACAGCUUAUGUCGGUUCAGGUGGUAGACGUCGCGGAAGGCCUUGCCGCACAUCUCGCAGGCGUGAUUCUUCCGGAUGCGCUUCCCAGAGGCAGUCGUGGUCACAACGCCACCGGCCGCCACCGCGGCUGUGCCGCCGCCAGCCCCGGCUUCUCCCCCACCCCCGCUGGCCCCGCUCAGCUGGGGGACACUCAAGAGGCUCAGGGGCACCAUGGUGGGCAUCUUCAUAGCACCCGAAGGGACCCGGCCAGCCUUGGCUCCCGUGUGGAUGGCUUCGUGCCUUCGGAGGUUGUAGCCGUUCUUGAACUCCUUGGCGCACAGGGCGCAAAUGUAGGGCCCCUUGCUCUUUGUCUUCUUCUCCAAGACAGAUGCAACUGGGGCCACGGCGACCGUCGAGGUUGGGGCGACGACAGCGGUGGCAGCCGCUGCUGCGAUAGUGGCGGCCGCGGCGGGGGGCGCGGCCUCGGCGGCUGGUGCGGAGACGGCAGGGGGUGGCGGAGGAGGCGCCGGAGGCUGCUUCAGGGCCGCUGUGUCCACUGUGGAGGCGGCGGCAGGGGCCGGGGG
rnacentral:lncRNA from 1 species